rnacentral:rRNA from 1 species
AGAGUUUGAUCAUGGCUCAGAACGUACGCUGGCGGCACGCCUAACACAUGCAAGUCGAACGAAGUAGCAAUACUUAGUGGCAGACGGGUGAGUAACAUGUAGGUAUCUGCCCUUUGGCCUGGAAUAACACGAGGAAACUUGUGCUAAUACCGGAUAAGUCUUUACGGAGAAAGCUUUAUGCACCAUUGGAUGAGCCUGCACUUGAUUAGUUUGUUGGUGGGGUAAUGGCCUACCAAGACUGUGAUCAAUAGCUGAUUUGAGAGGAUGAUCAGCCACAUUGGGACUGAGACACGGCCCAAACUCCUACGGGAGGCAGCAGUGGGGAAUCUUGCACAAUGGAGGAAACUCUGAUGCAGCGAUGCCGCGUGAGUGAAGAAGGCCCUUGGGUUGUAAAGCUCUUUCGUCGGGGAAGAAAAUGACUGUACCCGAAUAAGAAGGUCCGGCUAACUUCGUGCCAGCAGCCGCGGUAAUACGAAGGGACCUAGCGUAGUUCGGAAUUACUGGGCUUAAAGAGUUCGUAGGUGGUUGAAAAAGUUAGUGGUGAAAUCCCAGAGCUUAACUCUGGAACUGCCAUUAAAACUUUUCAGCUAGAGUAUGAUAGAGGAAAGCAGAAUUUCUAGUGUAGAGGUGAAAUUCGUAGAUAUUAGAAAGAAUACCAAUUGCGAAGGCAGCUUUCUGGAUCAUUACUGACACUGAGGAACGAAAGCAUGGGUAGCGAAGAGGAUUAGAUACCCUCGUAGUCCAUGCCGUAAACGAUGUGUGUUAGACGUUGGAAAUUUAUUUUCAGUGUCGCAGGGAAACCGAUAAACACACCGCCUGGGGAGUACGACCGCAAGGUUAAAACUCAAAUGAAUUGACGGGGACCCGCACAAGUAGUGGAGCAUGUGGUUUAAUUCGAAGAUACGCGCAGAACCUUACCAACACUUGACAUGUUCGUCGCGACUCUAAGAGAUUAGAGUUUUCGGUUCGGCCGGACGAAACACAGGUGCUGCAUGGCUGUCGUCAGCUCGUGUCGUGAGAUGUUGGGUUAAGUCCCGCAACGAGCGCAACCCUCACUUUUAGUUGCCAUCAUUAAGUUGGGCACUCUGAAAGAACUGCCAGUGAUAAGCUGGAGGAAGGUGGGGAUGACGUCAAGUCCUCAUGGCCCUUACGUGUUGGGCUACACACGUGCUACAAUGGUAUCUACAA